GAGUUUGAUCGUGGCUCAGAUUGAACGCUGGCGGCAGGCCUAACACAUGCAAGUCGAGCGGUUGAAGAUAGCUUGCUAUUGGAUACAGCGGCGGACGGGUGAGUAAUACAUGGGAAUCUGCCUGGUAGUGGGGGACAACGUUUCGAAAGGAACGCUAAUACCGCAUACGCCCUACGGGGGAAAGGGGGGAGGUCUUCGUACCGUCUCGCUAUCAGAUGAGCCCACUGUCAGAUU
rnacentral:rRNA from 1 species